UGGGGAAUAUUGGACAAUGGGGGCAACCCUGAUCCAGCAAUGCCGCGUGUGUGAAGAAGGUCUUCGGAUUGUAAAGCACUUUCGACGGGGACGAUGAUGACGGUACCCGUAGAAGAAGCCCCGGCUAACUUCGUGCCAGCAGCCGCGGUAAUACGAAGGGGGCUAGCGUUGCUCGGAAUGACUGGGCGUAAAGGGCGUGUAGGCGGUUUACACAGUCAGAUGUGAAAUCCCCGGGCUUAACCUGGGAGCUGCAUUUGAUACGUGUAGACUAGAGUGUGAGAGAGGGUUGUGGAAUUCCCAGUGUAGAGGUGAAAUUCGUAGAUAUUGGGAAGAACACCGGUGGCGAAGGCGGCAACCUGGCUCAUGACUGACGCUGAGGCGCGAAAGCGUGGGGAGCAAACAGGAUUAGAUACCCUGGUAGUCCACGCCUGUAAACGAUGUGUGCUAGAUGUUGGGUAACUUUGUUAUU
rnacentral:rRNA from 1 species